rnacentral:lncRNA from 1 species
GGGGGGGGAAUCAAAGACUCUUUGACCAUAAUUCGUUGGAAUUAUUAAAAGAGGAGGUUCAUGUUGGCAAUGUCAAAGUGCUGUUUAUCUUAUAGUUCUACCCAAAGGACCUGAAGAGCUCUCCUCCUGCUUCACAACCAAUCACCAUCACCAUUUCAUUCUCAUCCAGAGGAGAAUCAAGUAGAACUGAAUGACUAGCCUGUGACUGAGAAGAAGAUGGGGUAGUUUCCUGCAACUGAGGAGACUAGUAAGGGAGCAGCAGGGGUAUAAAGAUGAGGGUGGUUUUCCCAAUUCACUUUAAAGGGAAUGGACAUCAGGGACUGCCUAUUGGACUGAGUACAUAGGACUCAGGACCAUGGAGGAGCCUGGGAUGAAUUGGAUAGAACAGGAACCACCUGAAAAUCCUCCCUCUCAGCAUAGACCAGGAAUAGACUCAAGUAAGAGACUUGAACCUAGAGUAAAGCGCUGUUUUGAAUAUUUUUCUGAACUCUUGUGUUAUGAUUGACCUCCAAGUAGUUGAGGCUGUUUAAUAAUGUAGUAUUCCAUUUCUCCCUUCCAUUGCGAAGGACCUAAUGCUCAGUUAAAUAAUGUUGAGUCCAGGUUUAGUGGACUCAUUUCCCAGAGCUGUGGCCACUAACCUUCCAGAAAAGUAGCCAUCCCUGAAUUUUUAGGCCAUUAAAUAAUAAAUAAGAGGACUUCUAAAAUUAAUCUCCUUGCAUUUUGCUUCAUUUCAAUUGAAUGCUACUAGAGUCAUUACAAUGAUGACACAAGAGGCCCACAGUGUGACUGAAACAUGGACAGUUGUGUUUUUCUCUGUAAAGACCACUUUCCUAGGUGGAAUAAAAUAGAAAGUUAACACACCAACAAGCCAGUUGCAGGAGUUACUCUUUCUUGAAAGCUAGGAGGCACAUAUUCAUUUUUCUAUUGCUGCUGCAAUUAAUUACCACCAAUUCAGUGGCUUAACACCACACAAAUUUAUUAUCUCAUGAGUAUGUCAUUCAGAAAACUCUCUGUUCUGUAGGAUGGGCUCGACUGGCUUCUUUCCUCCCAAUCUCAAGGCCAAAAUCAAGGUGCUGCCUGGCCUUGGCUCUUCUGUGGAGGCUCUGGGAGAGAACACGCAGCCUGGCCCACGCAAGUUGUUGGCAGAGUUCAGCUCCUUUCAGCAGUGGCACUGAGGUUGCCAUUUCCUUGCUGGCUGUCAGUCACAGGUUGUUAUCUGCUCCAAGAGCCUUAAUUCUGGAUGCUGUCUUCAUAUUUAAAGCCAACAACAGAGGAAGCAUGACUCAGGCAACACUCUGUCAUCAACAGAAGAGAGGACUGACAAAGAACAGCUCCGAUAAGUCCCUGGGGACUUGAACAGUGCCUUCCUAUUCUUUAAAAAAAUAUCCUCUUAAGACAUUUAACGUGGAGCCACCAGCACACAACCAAAGAAAAUGGUCUUCAGGUUGAGAUAUGGCCAAGUGAAGCAAUUUGUGGGAGAGGAAGAGACCCAACCAUUAGCACAAAUUAUUCUGUCAUUCAGGAAGGAAGCUGUGGAGGCUUCCUUAUUUCUCAUUUGUCUGGGUUUAAGUAUCAGUCUACUAAAUGCUCGUGGAGUGAAACCCUGUCUGUUUUUGAUUCUUGGUAUGAAUAUAGAUAAUGAAAGAGAGUUUCUAGAUUAUUUUCAGGAGUUUUCAAUAGAAGAUGUCAGAAAUGUUUCCAAAGGCAUAAUAGGCUUGUGGCUGUCCAUGUUCCAAUAAGGAGCUCAACUUGAUCCUUUAAAGUGAUUCUUCCUGUGAAGAAAGCGGGCUCAGCAAGCACUGGAUUGGUCACCCCAGUGGAGACAAAGGGGGCUACGUAAGUCCAUGGAGAAGGGAUGAAAACUAUCUUGGAAAAAAUUCAGCCAGAGCCCAAAGAGUCUUCUCCUGGCUUUGCAGAGGGCAAGACCGUCUGUAAUGGAACUUCCUCAUGAUACUUUUGCCUUGGAAAGCAUUAUGUUUCUCUCCCCCUUGGGUGAAUUCUUGCCUACUUUUAAAUAUCCAGAGUGGAGAUAGACAUUUUGUGCCUGAAAUUACUGCUGUCUUGGUAGGUCUUCAGAAUAAAACCAAUGUAGCUAAGGGAGUAAGAAAGCUGCAUUGGUAUAUAUGGAAUGUGGAUUUUUAUCAGAUUGGUACAGAGUUUAACUGGGUAUGAUAUAAUCAGGAAAUAUUUUUAUUUUUUCCCACCAAUGCCUAGGACAGAUUGCAUCACUUUCAGUUCCAUUUUAGCCGCUAAUAAGUUGUCCCAUCUUCAGGAGUUAAAAAAAAUCUAAUCCAGAUCAUUCUUUAUAUAUAUAUACUUUAAGUUCUAGGGUACGUGUGCGUGUGCACAACGUGCAGGUUUUUUACAUAUGUAUACAUGUGCCAUGUUGGUGUUCUGCACCCGUUAACUCGACGUUUACAUUAGGUAUAUCUCCUAAUGCUAUCCCUCCCCACUCCCCCUACCCCAUGACAGGCCCCGGUGUGCGAUGUUCCCCUUCCUGUGUCCAAGUGUUCUCAUUGUUCAAUUCCUACCUAUGAGUGAGAACAUGCGGUGUUUGGUUUUCUGUCCUUGAGAUAGUUUGCUCAGAAUGAUGGUUUCCAGCUUCAUCCAUGUCCCUACAAAGGACAUGAACUCAUCCUUUUU